rnacentral:rRNA from 1 species
UCCUACGGGAGGCAGCAGUGGGGAAUAUUGCGCAAUGGGGGGAACCCUGACGCAGCCAUGCCGCGUGAAUGAAGAAGGCCUUCGGGUUGUAAAGUUCUUUCGGUAAUGAGGAAGGGAUGUUAUUAAAUAGAUAGCAUCAUUGACGUUAAUUACAGAAGAAGCACCGGCUAACUCCGUGCCAGCAGCCGCGGUAAUACGGAGGGUGCGAGCGUUAAUCGGAAUAACUGGGCGUAAAGGGCACGCAGGCGGACUUUUAAGUGAGAUGUGAAAUCCCCGAGCUUAACUUGGGAACUGCAUUUCAGACUGGGAGUCUAGAGUACUUUAGGGAGGGGUAGAAUUCCACGUGUAGCGGUGAAAUGCGUAGAGAUGUGGAGGAAUACCGAAGGCGAAGGUAGCCCCUUGGGAAUGUACUGACGCUCAUGUGCGAAAGCGUGGGGAGCAAACAGGAUUAGAUACCCUGGUAGUCC